rnacentral:tRNA from 1 species
UCCCCAGUGGUCCAGUGGCUAAGACUCUGCGCUCCCAAUGAAGGGAGGCCCAGGUUCAAUUCCUGGUCAGGGAA